CCUACGGGAGGCUGCAGUGAGGAAUAUUCCGCAAUGGACGAAAGUCUGACGGAGCGACGCCGCGUGGAUGAUGAAGGCCGGAAGGUUGUAAAAUCCUUUUGUCAACGAAGAAUAAGCGGAGGAGGGAAUGUCUUCGUGAUGACGUUAGUUGACGAAUAAGCCCCGGCUAAUUACGUGCCAGCAGCCGCGGUAACACGUAAGGGGCGAGCGUUGUUCGGAAUUAUUGGGCGUAAAGGGCGCGUAGGCGGUUUUGCCAGCCUGAUGUGAAAGCCUGGGGCUUAACCCUGGAAUUGCAUUGGGAACUGCAAGACUUGAAUCAUGGAAGGGAAAUCAGAAUUCCAGGUGUAGGGGUGAAAUCUGUAGAUAUCUGGAAGAAUACCGGUGGCGAAGGCGGAUUUCUGGCCAAUGAUUGACGCUGAGGCGCGAAAGUGCGGGGAGCAAACAGGAUUAGAUACCCGAGUAGUC
rnacentral:rRNA from 1 species